CUCUGCCUCCAGAUGCGCUCUCUCCUCUCCCUUAAACCCCAAUCCUCCGAAUCUGACAACUCCUCCACCUCUUCCUCCUCCCUUUCCGGCAACAUCCGCCGCCCCAACACUCACCUCAAGUCCAUCAAAUCCUCCCCAUCCAAACCUCCUCCGGCGAAACCAGAGUUCUCCACAAACCCCGUCAAAACCCUCGUAAAUCCCGCAAAUAAUCCCAGCGCCAAUUCCAGUUCCCCCAGUCUCACCACCAAGCUCCGGUUAACCAGCAAACUCUCUCCGCCACCACCGGCGCCGUCUCCGCCGUCAUUCCCGCCUGAAGAAAGGGAAAAUAGGAUUUGGGGGAAUUCGGUUACGAAUGAACCCCCAGGAGUUGAAUUCUGGCAGCAGGGGAAAAUCUUUGUGGGGAAUCUUCCGUUAUGGAUUAAGAAGCAUGAACUGGCUGAGUUCUUUCGCCAAUUCGGGCCAAUAAAGAAUGUUAUACUGAUAAAGGGCCACAACGAGACUGAGAGGAACACGGGGUUUGGGCUACUGAGGAGAAGGCGGCAAUGAAGGCGGUGGAUUUUGAUGGGGUGGAGUUUCAUGGGAGGGUGUUGACAGUGAAGUUGGAUGAUGGGAGGAGGACGAAGGAGUGGUCGGAUGAGAGACAGAGGUGGGUGGAGGGGGCAGAGGAAGUAGAGUACAAGUCCAAGUGGCACGAAGAGAGGGACCGGUUGUGGAGGGAGUUUCGGAAGGUUUUGGAGCCGGAGAAUUGGCGGGCUGUUGUUCGAGCUUUUCAGAGGGUUGAAAAGAUGCUGUUCCAAAGAAACUUGUCAAGCUAAUGAAUGUGCCUUGAUUGACUAUGGAACAAGUAGCCGGUCACUUGCAGAAGUAUCGAAGCUACCAAAGACAAAUUUCUGAAUCAAACACUCAAGCUCGGCCUAUUAGUAAAAGGAGCAAGAUCAACAAGACUUAUCAAUCAACAUUUGCAUGUAUGCAGCCUGUUCCUUUGUGGAGACGCCAACAGCAAUCACAAAAUUUGGAACAAGGCAACAUGAUUCCAUCACUUCAACACA